UGGUGGAGUGAUUUGUCUGGUUAAUUCCGAUAACGAACGAGACCUUAACCUGCUAACUAGUUCGCUCCUAAAUAAGGGGUGCAACUUCUUAGAGGGACUAUGCGUGUAAACGCAUGGAAGUUUGAGGCAAUAACA
rnacentral:rRNA from 1 species